rfam:Homo sapiens chromosome 7, GRCh38 reference primary assembly.
GCUGGGCGUGGUGGCUCACGCCUGUAAUCCCAGCGCUUUGGGAGGCCAAGGCAGGCAGAUCACCUGAGGUCAGGAGUUCGAGACCAGCCUGGCCAACCUGGUGAAACCCCGUCUCUACUAAAAAAAAAUACAAAAAUACCACCUCCACCUCCUGGGUACAAGCAAUUCUCCUGGCUCAGCCCCCCGAGUAGCUGGGACUACAGGCACUUGCCACCACGCCCAGCUAACUUUUGUAUUUUUAAUAGAGACAGGGUUUCACCAUGUUGGCCAGGCUGGUCUCGAACUCCUGACCUCAAGUGAUCCACCUGCCUCC